UACGUAGGGUGCGAGCGUUAAUCGGAAUUACUGGGCGUAAAGCGUGCGCAGGCGGUUCGUUAUGUCCGAUGUGAAAGCCCCGAGCUUAACUUGGGAAUGGCAUUGGAAACUGGCGGGCUGGAGUGCGGCAGAGGGGGGUGGAAUUCCACGUGUAGCAGUGAAAUGCGUAGAGAUGUGGAGGAACACCGAUGGCGAAGGCAGCCCCCUGGGCUAACACUGACGCCUCAUGCACGAAAGCGUGGGGAGCAAACAGG
rnacentral:rRNA from 1 species